GUAGUCCACGCCGUAAACGAUGGAUACUAGCUGUUGGAGGUAUCGACCCCUUCAGUAGCGAAGCUAACGCGUUAAGUAUCCCGCCUGUGGAGUACGGCCGCAAGGCUAAAACAUAAAGGAAUUGACGGGGACCCGCACAAGCGGUGGAUCGUGUUCUUUAAUUCGAUGAUAAACGAAGAACCUUACCAGGGCUUGACAUCCAGGGAAGGUCUGCGAAAGCGGACUGUGCCUUUUGGAACCCUGUGACAGGUGCUGCAUGGCCGUCGUCAGCUCGUGUCGUGAGAUGUUUGGUUAAGUCCAUCAACGAGUGCAACCCUUGCAACUAGUUGGAUUUUUCUAGUUGGACUGCCCCGGUAACGGGGAGGAAGGAGGGGAUGAUGUCAGGUCAGUAUUGCCCUUACGUCCUGGGCUAGAAACACGAUACAAUGGCUAGUACAAUGCGCAGCGAANGCCGCGAGGUGGAGCAAAUCGCAUCAAAGCUAGUCCCAGUUCGGAUUGGAGGCUGAAACUCGCCUCCAUGAAGUCGGAAUCGCUAGUAAUCGCAGAUCAGCAAGCUGCGGUGAAUACGUUCCCGGGUCUUGUACACACCGCCCGUCAAACCAUGAAAGUGACCAACACCCGAAGUCCGAUUCGUCGGCCUAAGGUGGGGGGCAUGAUUGGGGUU
rnacentral:rRNA from 1 species